UACGUAGGGUGCAAGCGUUAAUCGGAAUUACUGGGCGUAAAGCGUGCGCAGGCGGCUUUGCAAGACAGAUGUGAAAUCCCCGGGCUCAACCUGGGAAUUGCGUUGGAGACUGCAAGGCUGGAGUCUGGCAGAGGGGGGUAGAAUUCCACGUGUAGCAGUGAAAUGCGUAGAGAUGUGGAGGAACACCGAUGGCGAAGGCAGCCCCCUGGGUCAAGACUGACGCUCAUGCACGAAAGCGUGGGGAGCAAACAGG
rnacentral:rRNA from 1 species